CUUUGUGACCCCAUGAACUGUAACCUCCCAGACUCCUCUGUCCAUGGGAUUCCCCAGUUUUGUAUCUUUUGCUCCUUGAGUCAGAUGCAGUCCCAUGAUUUUCAUGUCUUGGCAAGCAUCUGUCAACGGUUAUUCACGAUCCUGAGUCUUAGGACAAAAGAAAAUGAAUUCUAUUCUCCUCGUACUCAUGAAGAAGAUUGAAAAGCUGGUACCAGAGACACAGCUCAAUCCUCAGGUUUGGAGGAUGUACUACAGUUUGUUUUCCCAUUCACCUCCUGAAAGAUAUCUUGGAUUUGAAUGCUUCCAAGUUUUGCAAAUUAUGAAUAAAGCUGCUAUAAACAUCUAUGUGUGGGCUUUUCUAUGGAGAUAAGUUUUCAGUUCAUUUGGGUAAAUACCAAGGAGCUUGACUGCUUGAUUGUACGACCUGCUUCCCCAGUGCUGGCUCCAUACUCAGACUCUACAUGAUGCCAAGAAGGCUGCAGCAACUCCAACUCAUAUACAUGCGUAUGGUAUCGUCCUCCACAAGCCUCCCCCUCAUUGCUUAAGCUGAAGAAGACUUGGGAUAAAAUCUGAUGGG
ensembl:lncRNA